CCCGUGAUAGCUCAGUUGGUAGAGCGGAGGACUGUAGUGUUGUGAUUACCAUUGAUAUCCUUAGGUCGGCGGUUCGACUCCGUCUCGCGGGA
rnacentral:tRNA from 1 species